rnacentral:misc_RNA from 1 species
CACCACUCAAGCCUCGCUUGGUAUUGGGCGACGCGGUACGUCCGCGCGCCUCAAAUCUUCCGGCUGGUUCGAAUCGUCCCUCAGCGUUGUGGAAACUAUUCGCUAAAGGUGCGCGUUUCGGUCACGCCGUUAAACAAGCCAAUUUCAUUAAA